UAAAACCCAACCUCUUGAAAGCCCGCGCCAACACCCCCAUAAUGGAAAGCAUGGUUGUGAUUCCGGCAAUCUGGAGGCGUUCUGGACAGGGGUUCGAUUCCCCUCACCUCCACCUGAACCCAUCGCGGUGGGUUGAGUUGGGGGUGUACUGGCUUCGACAGGGCGGGCAAAGGUGCGCAGGCAACCCGAAAGGUGACGGACGUAAUCCGCACAAAUCCAUAAACGCCAACGAUGAGCGUUUCGCUGUUGCCGCCUAAACGGCAUAGCUGGGGCCGCUGAAGCCUUAUUACCCAAGACAGCCGGCGGGGACUUCGGUCCCCGUCGUCA
rnacentral:tmRNA from 1 species